rnacentral:rRNA from 1 species
GCAGCAGCCGCGGGAAUACGUAGGGUGCAAGCGUUAAUCGGAAUUACUGGGCGUAAAGCGUGCGCAGGCGGUUAUAUAAGACAGAUGUGAAAUCCCCGGGCUCAACCUGGGAACUGCAUUUGUGACUGUAUAGCUAGAGUACGGCAGAGGGGGAUGGAAUUCCGCGUGUAGCAGUGAAAUGCGUAGAUAUGCGGAGGAACACCGAUGGCGAAGGCAAUCCCCUGGGCCUGUACUGACGCUCAUGCACGAAAGCGUGGGGAGCAAACAGGAUUAGAUACCCCUGUAGUCCCUGUCUCUUAUAC